rnacentral:lncRNA from 1 species
CCUAUAUUAGUUAUUUGAUCUUUGAUUCGCUGUUUUACGUCAUGCCGGCUAACAAAUUGAAAACUGUACCUAUACGCCUUAAUUUAAGUCCAAAUUUUUAGUAUUCGUAUUGUCAUCUUAGAAAGUCAUACUGAUUAAAAUACUACAAUAGGGAACAAUGUGACAAUGGUUGAAUUUAGUAGUGUCAAUCCUGUGGUUAUGACCCGUGUAUAUAGCAAAAUCCUAAAUACACCGGAUGGUGGUGCGCCUGUUAGAUGCGGAACGUACAGAUAAGGUAAUGGGUAACAGGUGAAUAUACUAUUGGUAUCGGUAUCGGAUUCGACCCGGAACUUGUUAAUUAUUGGCAAUAUUAAUUAUGUGGACUGCAAAAG